GUCCUUCCAACUCUAAGGAUUCUAUGAUUCUAUGAAGUCAGAGUAUGCAAAUGUAGGAAGCCAAGGACCAGAAUCUUGGCUAUAGCCCAGCAUUGACUAAAGAACAUGGGAUAACCCUUGGUAUUACAGAAAAGUCUACAUUAAAGCAUGAAGUGGCUAAAACAUAUCCUUUGGCAGGAGGCUAAACACCCACCUUGGAUAUAGAUGUCUAUGCCAUAGGAGGUUCUUGACUCAUCUGUUCACAUGCAGGCACAUAAUAAUGCCAUCUGAGAUGUCCUGUGGAAUCUGGGACAUCUCCAUCCCCUGGCAGUUCAAUGUUCUCAGCGCUGCAAAUCUGGCUGCAUUUGCACUUUUUGUCUGUCUGCUGGAUUCUUUCACAUUUUUUUUUUGCCAGGAGAAGACAGGGAAUGUGUUUUUUUUUUUCCCUGUAUUUCCUGGGAGGGAGAGGUCUCCAAAAUACAGCCUCUGAGAAUCUGAACUGUGAGAGUGAGGAAAACUUUCAGACAAACCACUGGGCAAAUGUACUGCGGGAAAAUCUAGCCUGUGGCAAUGAAAUGUUUUGCUUCAGUUAUCAGCAGCACAAUAUAAAUAUAACUUCCAGACAAGGAGAAUGCCUCUAUUCCUCCCUCUCCCACACACUUGCUCAUACACGUAAUAAAAAUUUGCAUUUCGU